rnacentral:miRNA from 1 species
ACUCUUUUCCUUUUCUCUGCAGGG